AUUGCUUCUCAGUCUUUUGACUAAGAUCAAGUGUAGUAUAUAUUCCAAUCAGUUUAAUAUCCGAUACAUCCUCUAUCUGAAGACAAUACAUUAAAUGGAUUCUUGGAGCAGGAGGUUGGAUUGGGAGCUUUCUCCAUUCACUCCACUUACCGACCUGGAAGUAUCGUAAUCUUUCUAGGAGUGGUGCAUCUACA